rnacentral:rRNA from 3 species
UACGAAGGUCCCGAGCGUUGUUCGGAAUCACUGGGCGUAAAGGGAGCGUAGGCGGCGUGGUAAGUCAGAUGUGAAAUCCCGGGGCUCAACCCCGGAACUGCAUCCGAUACUGCCAUGCUAGAGGAUUGGAGAGGUAGCUGGAAUUCUUGGUGUAGCAGUGAAAUGCGUGGAGAUCAAGAGGAACACUCGUGGCGAAAGCGAGCUACUGGACAAUAUCUGACGCUGAGGCUCGAAGGCCAGGGUAGCGAAAGGG